UACGAAGGGGGCUAGCGUUGCUCGGAAUCACUGGGCGUAAAGGGUGCGUAGGCGGGUUUUUAAGUCAGAGGUGAAAUCCUGGAGCUCAACUCCAGAACUGCCUUUGAUACUGAAAGUCUUGAGUAUGGGAGAGGUGAGUGGAACUGCGAGUGUAGAGGCGAAAUUCGUAGAUAUUCGCAAGAACACCAGUGGCGAAGGCGGCUCACUGGCCCAUAACUGACGCUGAGGCACGAAAGCGUGGGGAGCAAACAGG
rnacentral:rRNA from 1 species